GAUGAACGCUGGCGGCGUGCCUAAUACAUGCAAGUCGAGCGAACAGACGCUGAUCUUGCUCCUCUGACGUUAGCGGCGGACGUGUGAGUAACACGUGUAUACCCUACCUAUAAUUCUGGUAUCACUUCGGGACACCGGCGCUUAUACCGUAUAAUCUAUUGAACCGCAUGGUUCAUUAGUAAAAUUCGGUUUUUCUGUCUCUUAUCGCUUGUUCCCGGCCGCAUUAGCUAGUUGGUACGUUAACGGCCUUCCAAGGCAACCAUGGGUUGCCGACCUGAUAGGGUGAUCGGCGACAUUGGAACGGAGACACGGACCAGACUACUACGGGAGGCAGCAGUAGGGAAUCUGACGCAAUGGGGGAAAGGAUGACGGAGCAAGGCCGAGUGAGAGAUGAAGGUCUUGGGAUCGUAAAACUCUGUUAUUAGGGAAGAACAAAUGUGUAAGUAAAUGUGGACGGAGUGACGGUAACGAAUAAGAAAGCAACGGCUAACUACGUG
rnacentral:rRNA from 1 species